rnacentral:lncRNA from 1 species
GGUGGCCCCGCGAUUCUUCCAGGAGUAACUCGUCGGGUCAAGGAGGAUACUCGACGAGUAGAUAGGGAAUCUCAGAGAGUUGGAGGACGUCUAGACUCGCCGAGUCCGGUCGAGUUGACCGUUGACCGUUGACCAGAGUUGACCUAAGUCUGACUUCUUAGGGAUAGUCACACUUAGAAGAUAUAAGUGUGAAUGAGAGAUAUGUGAUGUUAUCGGGAGGUUGUAGCUCGUCGGAUUGUGCACGAGUGAUUUCAGGAUUUGCUAGCUUUCAGCAUUAACGAGGUGAGUCUUCUCACUAUACUGUACCCGGAAGGGUUUGACUGUGUAACCGGAAGGUCAGGUAUGAUGUGUGAUAUGUAUGCUAUAUGUGGUAAGCUGUUUGUUAUAUAUGAUAUGUAUGUUAUGGGCCGGAAGGCAAUAUGUUAUGGGCCGGAAGGCAAUAUGUUAUGGGCCGGAAGGCAAUAUGUUGUGUUAUGGACCGGAAGGUCGGCGUGGGUAGGACCGGAAGGUUUACCCAGCAGGGACGGAAGUCCCCUGAGACACAUGGACCGAUAGGUCAGGGCCUGGAAAGGCGUAUGUGCGUAAGUUGUAUAUCGGGGAACUCACUAAGCAUUAUGCUUACAGUUGUUGUGUAUGUGUUUCAGGUACUAGCAAGGACCGUGGGAAGGCGCCGGCGUGAUCGAUACACGCUG